AGUGAACGCUGGCGGUAGGCCUAACACAUGCAAGUCGAACGGCAGCACAGUAAGAGCUUGCUCUUACGGGUGGCGAGUGGCGGACGGGUGAGGAAUACAUCGGAAUCUACUUUUUCGUGGGGGAUAACGUAGGGAAACUUACGCUAAUACCGCAUACGACCUACGGGUGAAAGCAGGGGAUCUUCGGACCUUGCGCGAUUGAAUGAGCCGAUGUCGGAUUAGCUAGUUGGCGGGGUAAAGGCCCACCAAGGCGACGAUCCGUAGCUGGUCUGAGAGGAUGAUCGGCCACACUGGAACUGAGACACGGCCCAGACUCCUAAGGGAGGCAGCAGUGGGGAAUAUUGGACAAUGGGCGCAAGCCUGAUCCAGCCAUACCGCGUGGGUGAAGAAGGCCUUCGGUUUGUAAAGCCCUUUUGUUGGGAAAGAAAAGCAGCAGGUUAAGACCCCGCUGUUCUGACGGUACCCAAAGAAUAAGCACCGGCUAACUUCGUG
rnacentral:rRNA from 1 species